UGUCCAUGCCCCAGGGACCAGUAAAGAUGACCCAUUGGAAGUGUGCUCUAAGCCAGUUAUUAAUAACAGACCAGUGAGCCUCCUGAUCCACCAAGACCAUAUGGUGUUUUUCAUAAAAGAGAGAGAUCAUUCCCUUGACUUUGGACUUCGCUUAUUGAACCCCUGGACAGAAUCAAGGUUGCUAAGAGACCACCUGUGCUGAAUACACUUUGUUCUGGCAAGAGCAGAAAACUGAGAAGCCGUGUUACCUACCACUACCUGGGAUUAAUUCAGGGAGCGGGAUAAUUCUGGAUAUGACUGGUAAAAACUGGAUAUUAAUUUCUACUACUACUCCCAAAAGUCUAGAAGAUGAAAUUGUGGGAAGACUUCUAAAAAUUUUGUUUGUUAUCUUUGUUGACUUAAUUUCUAUUAUAUAUGUUGUGAUAACUUCUUAGAAAGCUGACUUCCUUUCCAUGUACAUUUCAAACUGAAUUACAGUGAAUAAAAAUUUGUAUUUUAACUUGUUGAGUGACUCACAUUUUAUGACAUUGCCAAUUUAUUCUAGAAGCCAACAGGACACUGCAAUACAAACAACAUUGUGUAUUGUUUAGUUCUUUAUGGUUUAUGAAACAUUCACAUAUACUGAAGUGAAUUUUUUUCCCCAAAAACAUCUAUCCUACUGAGUCAUGAAACUUCUAGAUUUUUAGCCAGGUGUGGUGGCUCACACCUGUAAUCCCAGCACUUUGAGAGGCCCAGGUAGGCGGAUCCCUUGAGUGCAGGAGUUCGAUACGGGCCUGAGCAACCUGAAGAAAUCCCAUCUCUA
rnacentral:lncRNA from 1 species